UGUCGCCAUUCCGUCUUAUUUCUUUCACACAGAUCUUUUCUCUGUUUUGUCUCACAAACACACAAAAACCAAUACACCAAACCAGACGCACGCUCACUGACGGUCACCACCUCACCGUCGCUGGCCACCGCUGCACGUCGCUGGCCACCGCCACACGUCGCCACCGCCGCAAAUCACCACCUCCACUGCCGCAAAUCACAGGUUGGAGGAGAUAGUGUCUGAAUUCCAUUAUCAAGUUCUUAGGAUUAUCGCUUAUAGUGUUAGAAAUGGGAAAGCACUUAUGGAGUGAAUCCGAAGAUGAGCUAGUUGAGGUUAAUUGUCCAAGCUGCAUGAGGGGAAUAAUUCAUGCUCUUGAUUGGCAUAACAGCGUUAAGAAGGUAUACCCCACAAAAAGCAUAAUGGACCAAAACAUACAAAAGUUUACUUUUGCAACCAUUCAUCAAGAAACGUUCACAAUCCCACCAUUCAUCAAGGAUUGCUUAUAGCAAGUUUUUAGUUUAACAAUCAAUGUGGAACAAUCUCCUUUAUUGGUACUUUUGGAGGUAUCCCACUGGUAUUUGCUUUGUCCCUACUUAUAUUCAAAGACUGAUCAGAAAGAGAGAUUCAUGGAUUCAUUGCGGAUUGUACUUUGUAAUGAAAAAGAAAACAGAGCAUGUAAUAUGAAGUGAGAAAAAAAUGGAACACAAUCCUAGAAAAUGUGCUAGCUAGUCUCCAAUCUCCAUACAUCAUCUAUGCAGGCAUGUAAGAUAUAUUAUUGCGGAAUUGCUUUUAGUUUUUCUAUUUGACUUGCUUUCUUUUGUUGAGUGCCUUUGUGUUUUCCCAAAGAAAGCAAUUCCAGCAAAUAAAGGUGCUCUCUUUCCAAAAAUGUUCUUUUCUCCUACAGUUGUGUACUGAUGGUGUGAUGACAAGAUAAAUGUUAAAAAGAAUUUUCAUGUCCACUUCAAUUUCCUUCUGAUGCUAAGUCAUUCAUACGUAAGAUCCUUGAUCCCAACCCUGAAAUUGUGAGUAUGAAGAUCCCAUCUAUUCUAUUGCAGGAACCAUAAAUUUGGAGUCCUUGAUGAGUGCAUCCAAGUUUUUUUUUUUUUAGGCUUGCAAAUGACUUGGGCAUCACAUUUGUUUCCUUUUCUCAGGUCUGCUUGGAAUGCUAUUAGAGUGCCUCAAGCUUGUGUUUCUUGGUGGUAUGGGGUCUGGUUUAGCUACAAUGUCCCUAAACGAGCCUUCAUUUUGUGGCUUUGCUGCUGGAAAAGAUUAGCUACUAAGGAUAGACUUCAAAGAUGGGGAAUGGAGGUUCAUUUGCUUUGUGUUCUUUGUAAUCUGUCACAUGAAUCUCAUGAUCACCUCUUUUUUGAAUGCCCGACUUUGUUAGAUUUGGGGGCAAGUGUUGAGGAAAUUUCAGGUUUCUAGAGUGCCCAUGAGCUGGUCUGCUGAAUUGGAAUAUUGCACUUCAAAUUUGAGAGGAAAGAGCUUCAAGGUUACUGUGUUUAAGCUUGCCCUUUCUGCUGCAAUUUAUCAUAUUUGGCUUUAAAAGAAUGCUAGGAUUUUUAGCAAUAAAGCUUCUGAUGCUUGUGUUGUUUUUCAUCCUGUGGUAACAAAUGUGAGGGAUAGAAGUUGUUCAUGGACUGGGGUGGGUAGUUCUCCCUCUAAUAAGGAUGUUUGUCAAGCUUGGAACCUUCCAUUGAGGAUUUUGAACAGUAGAGGUUAUAGGUUAUCGGUUAAUGCAGAGAGAUAAAAAAGCUACACUCGUUCGUUGGGGGCAAUUACUACAUCAGUUCCAGGAGCAUCAAAGGAUUAUAUUUUGAUUUUUUGGAUAUAUUUGUCAUAGGUUUUGUUAUAAAUUUGCAAGCUUAGAAGUUUUUUUGGAAUUACAUGUUUAAAGUUUGGGAUGGUAAGGGAUUUGUACUUUGGAUGUUUUGGAUUUGAUAUUUUGUUUAUAUUUAAUAUGCUACUACUUUUGAAUUAAGUUUAUAUUUUUGAUGCUUUGCACAA